CCUACGGGAGGCAGCAGUGGGGAAUAUUGGACAAUGGGGGGAACCCUGAUCCAGCCAUGCCGCGUGUGUGAAGAAGGCCCUCGGGUUGUAAAGCACUUUCAGUGAGGAAGAACGCCUGGUGGUUAAUACCCAUCAGGAAAGACAUCACUCACAGAAGAAGCACCGGCUAACUCCGUGCCAGCAACCGCGGUAAUACGGAGGGUGCGAGCGUUAAUCGGAAUUACUGGGCGUAAAGCGCGCGUAGGUGGCUUGAUAAGCCGGUUGUGAAAGCCCCGGGCUCAACCUGGGAACGGCAUCCGGAACUGUCAAGCUAGAGUGCAGGAGAGGAAGGUAGAAUUCCCGGUGUAGCGGUGAAAUGCGUAGAGAUCGGGAGGAAUACCAGUGGCGAAGGCGGCCUUCUGGACUGACACUGACACUGAGGUGCGAAAGCGUGGGUAGCAAACAGGAUUAGAUACCCCUGUAGUC
rnacentral:rRNA from 1 species